CCUACGGGGUGCAGCAGUGAGGAAUAUUGGUCAAUGGACGAGAGUCUGAACCAGCCAAGUAGCGUGAAGGAUGACUGCCCUAUGGGUUGUAAACUUCUUUUAUAUGGGAAUAAAAUGUUCCACGUUUGGGAUUUUGUAUGUACCAUAUGAAUAAGGAUCGGCUAACUCCGUGCCAGCAGCCGCGGUAAUACGGAGGAUCCGAGCGUUAUCCGGAUUUAUUGGGUUUAACGGGAGCGUAGGUGGAUUGUUAAGUCAGUUGUGAAAGUUUGCGGCUCAACCGUAAAAUUGCAGUUGAAACUGGCAGUCUUGAGUACAGUAGAGGUGGGCGGAAUUCGUGGUGUAGCGGUGAAAUGCUUAGAUAUCACGAAGAACUCCGAUUGCGAAGGCAGUUCACUGGACUGCAACUGACACUGAGGCUCGAAAGUGUGGGUAUCAAACAGGAUUAGAUACCCCAGUAGUC
rnacentral:rRNA from 1 species